rnacentral:rRNA from 1 species
GUCGAACGCCCCGCAAGGGGAGUGGCAGACGGGUGAGUAACGCGUGGGAACAUACCCUUUCCUGCGGAAUAGCUCCGGGAAACUGGAAUUAAUACCGCAUACGCCCUACGGGGGAAAGAUUUAUCGGGGAAGGAUUGGCCCGCGUUGGAUUAGCUAGUUGGUGGGGUAAAGGCCUACCAAGGCGACGAUCCAUAGCUGGUCUGAGAGGAUGAUCAGCCACAUUGGGACUGAGACACGGCCCAAACUCCUACGGGAGGCAGCAGUGGGGAAUAUUGGACAAUGGGCGCAAGCCUGAUCCAGCCAUGCCGCGUGAGUGAUGAAGGCCUUAGGGUUGUAAAGCUCUUUCACCGGAGAAGAUAAUGACGGUAUCCGGAGAAGAAGCCCCGGCUAACUUCGUGCCAGCAGCCGCGGUAAUAC